UGUAUCUGAAGUCUGACGAGGAUGAGAACCUCCGGGGGCAAGAGGUUCGACUCGAGCGAAGCGAGAGAACGUUGCGCCAGCAACGGCCCGCAGGGCGAGCCACCCUCUAUCACCGGCAG
rnacentral:sRNA from 2 species